UACGGAGGAUGCGAGCGUUAUCCGGAUUUAUUGGGUUUAAAGGGUGCGUAGGCGGCGAGUUAAGUCAGCGGUAAAAGCCCGGGGCCCAACCCCGGAACUGCUCUGGAAACUGUGCGGCUAGAGUACUGGAGGGGCAGGCGGAAUUCCUAGUGUAGCGGUGAAAUGCGUAGAUAUUAGGAGGAACACCAGUGGCGAAGGCGGCCUGCUGGACAGUAACUGACGUUGAGGCUCGAAAGCGUGGGGAGCAAACAGG
rnacentral:rRNA from 1 species